AUACGUAGGUGACAAGCGUUAUCCGGAUUUACUGGGCGUAAAGGGCGUGUAGGCGGUCUUGCAAGUCAGAAGUGAAAUUCCUGAGCUCAACUCGGGCGCUGCUUCUGAAACUGCAGGACUUGAGUGCUGGAGGGGAUAGCGGAAUUCCUAGUGGAGCGGUAAAAUGCGCAGAUAUUAGGAAGAACACCGGUGGCGAAGGCGGCUAUCUGUACAUUAACUGACGCUGAGGGGCGAAAGCGGGGGGAGCAAACAGGAUUAGAUACCCUGGUAGUCCACGCCGUAAACGAUGAAUGCUAGGUGUGGGUGUCGAGAGGCAUCCGUGCCGGAGUUAACGCGAUAAGCAUUCCGCCUGGGGAGUACGAUCGCAAGAUUGAAACUCAAAUGAAUUGACGGGG
rnacentral:rRNA from 1 species